GGAUUAGAUACCCUGGUAGUCCACGCCGUAAACGAUGUCUACUAGUCGUCGGGGAUCUUGCAUUUCUGGUGACGCAGCUAACGCGAUAAGUAGACCGCCUGGGGAGUACGGCCGCAAGGUUAAAACUCAAAUGAAUUGACGGGGGCCCGCACAAGCGGUGGAGCAUGUGGUUUAAUUCGAAGCAACGCGAAGAACCUUACCUGGCCUUGACAUCCUGCGAACCCUUUAGAGAUAGGGGGGUGCCUUCGGGAGCGCAGUGACAGGUGCUGCAUGGCUGUCGUCAGCUCGUGCCG
rnacentral:rRNA from 1 species